rnacentral:rRNA from 1 species
GACGAACGCUGGCGGCGUGCUUAACACAUGCAAGUCGAACGGAAAGGCCCUGCUUUUGUGGGGUGCUCGAGUGGCGAACGGGUGAGUAACACGUGAGUAACCUGCCCUUGACUUUGGGAUAACUUCAUGAAACUGGGGCUAAUACCGGAUAGGAGUUCCUGCUGCAUGGUGGGGGUUGGUAAGUUUCGGCGGUUGGGGAUGGACUCGCGGCUUAUCAGCUUGUUGGUGGGGUAGUGGCUUACCAAGGCUUUGACGGGUAGCCGGCCUGAGAGGGUGACCGGCCACAUUGGGACUGAGAUACGGCCCAGACUCCUACGGGAGGCAGCAGUGGGGAAUGUUGCACAAUGGGCGGAAGCCUGAUGCAGCAACGCCGCGUGCGGGAUGACGGCAUUCGGGUUGUAAACCGCUUUCGCCCGUGACGAAGCGUGAGUGACGGUAAUGGGUAAAGAAGCACCGGCUAACUACGUG